CGGAGCCGCAUCGCUCCGAGGGGCUUCUUUUCUUUCGCCUCUCUUUCUCCCCAGAUGCACUCUCUCCAUCCCCUCCCCUCGCUCCUUUUUGCACAAUCGCUCUCUUGGACUAUUUUUCAUGCUCCGCUAACUGCCAGCGCUUUCACGGCCCGCGUGAGCCUUGCUGCCUCAUGAAGAUUUAUGGAACUGCAGUAAUAAACUGUGUUUGAAAGAUCCUUUUUAUGAUAAACCCCUGCCAAGCUGCUGGGGUGGGGGGAAUCCAGGAGGACCACGCUGCUGAUCCUGCUGUGGGCUGGCGUGGCUCUCGCGGGGCAGAACCUACAGCUCAGGGCAGGUUUUUAGGAGCAUCUCCCACCCUUGUUUGCCGGCGAGGGAGCAGGGAGUUGGUGGAGAGCUGCUGCUGACGCUGCAAAGUGCGUCUCCUGGAGAGCAUCAUCCAAAGACCGGUUGGGCUCCGGUGCCUUGGUUCUCUUGGAAAGGAAAGGCGAUGGCCGCAUCCUGCUAGGAGCCCGGGCUGUGGCCCCGGCACAGGGGACUCCUCUGCUGGCAGGUAGGGCAGAUGGAUGGAUGAAGCGGCAAAGAGAGCAGCGUUCUCUUAACCUCUCACUGCUUGGAGAGGGGCUUGCGAGGAUUUACCGUGGGAUUUUGGCUGCUGUGGGAGCAUUGCGCCCAGCCAAGGAGCCACCUCCAGCCCCCAGGGACUUGAGGGCUUCUUCUCCCAUCUCGUCGAAGCAAUUUGCCGUCCACCGUGGAAGCUGUCCUGCACCCGUGGAUCCCGACAGGACGAGCACCCACAUGAUCUCGGCAGACGAUGCCGAGUACCCGCGGGAAUACCGGACCUUGGGCAACGGCACCCGACGCUUCUCCAACGUAGGGCUGGUGCACACCUCGGAGCGCCGGCACACCGUCAUCGCCGCCCAGAGCCUGGAAGCCCUCACUGGCCUCCAGAAGUCGGAGAUGGAACGCAAACGGGAUGCUUUCAUGGACCACCUGAAGAACAAGUACCCACAACACGCGCUGGCGCUCCGGGGGCAGCAGGAGCGCAUGCGGGACCAGCAACCCAACUACUGGAGCUUUAAGACGAGGAGCUCCCGGCACUCCCAGGGCUCCCAGCCUGGCUUGGCCGAUCAAGCUAAACUCUCCUUUGCCUCGGCUGAAUCUCUGGAAACCAUGUCAGAAGCGGAGCUGCCUCUGGGGUUCAACAGGAUGAACCGGUUCCGGCAGAGCUUGCCCUUGUCCCGGUCCACCAGCCAGACGAAGCUGCGAUCGCCAGGGGUCCUUUUCCUGCAGUUUGGGGAUGAGACGAGACGUGUCCACAUCACCCACGAGAUCAGCAGCAUGGACACUCUGCACGCCCUCAUCGUCCACAUGUUCCCCCAGAAGCUCACCAUGGGGAUGUUGAAGUCUCCCAACACCGCCAUCCUCAUCAAGGACGAGUCCCGCAAUGUCUUCUAUGAGCUGGAAGAUGUCCGUGACAUCCAGGACAGAAGUAUCAUUAAAAUCUACCGGAAAGAGCCACUUUAUGCCUCCUUCCCAGCCUCGCACAUCACCAACGGUGACCUGAGGAGGGAGAUGGUGUACACGUCAAGGGAGUCUUCUCCCACCCGCCGCCUGAACAACAUGUCCCCAGCUUCCCACCUCACCUCGGGGUCCCCUCCGCCGGUGCUCCAGUCCUCCUCGCCGUCCCGCUCCCGCAUGUCCUACAGCGGGGGCCGCCCGCCCUCCUACGCCGGCAGCCCCGUCCAUCACAGCGAGCGUCUCUCCAACCUGCCGCCCGCUCAAGGCGUCUCGCCCAGCCCCAGCGCCAUCCUGGAGCGCCGGGACGUGAAACCGGAUGAAGACCUGGCCGGGAAGAACGUGGUGUUGGUGAAGAACGAGGGGCUGUACGCCGAUCCCUACGGCAUGGUGCACGAGGGGCGGCUCAGCAUCACCUCCACCCAGUCCUUGGCGGGCAUGGGGGACCCUUUUGGCUACUCGGGGGGGCUGUACAAGCGGGGCUCCGUUCGCUCCCUCAGCACCUACUCGGCAGCCGCCUUGCAGACCGAGCUGGAGGACAGCCUGUACAAGCCCAACGCGCCCAUUUACAGUGACACGUACGGUCCCGGCUUGGGUUUCCGCAUGCCCCCCUCGUCCCCGCAGAAGAUGGCUGAUGGGCGGCUGGUGGAUGUGCAGCCAGGGCAGAGCCCCCACAGCCCCUACUCGGGACCCCCCAGCCGCUCCUCCCCUGUCCGUCAGUCCUUCCGCAAGGACUCCUGCUCCUCCGUCUUCAUGGAGAGCCCCGUCAACAAGCCACGCAACCCCAGCUCCUCCGGCCCUCCGGAGUUGUUUCCCGGCCCUGGAGAUCGCCCGCUCUCGGGAUUCGGCUCCCCUGGACCAGCCAAGGACACGGAAACGAGGGAGCGGAUGGAGGCGAUGGAAAAGCAGAUCGCCAGCCUGACAGGCCUGGUGCAGAGCGCGCUGCUCCGCGGCUCCGAGGCCGAGACCCCCAGCGAGAAGACAGAAGCCACCAAUGGCGGGACCCCCCCAUCAGCGUCCACCAGCCGCAGUGGCAUGGGGACACCGGUGCCCGCGCCGCCGCCGCCCUCGGCCAGCAGCACGCCAGCGGGGCAGCCCACGGCCAUCACCCGCCUGCACAUGCAGCUGCACCUCCAUGACCUGCAGCAGAACGCCAGUGACCUCCGCAACCAGCUGCAGCAGCUCAAGAAGCUGCAGCUGCAGAACCAAGAGACGAUGAAGACGAUGCUGCGGCGGACAGAGACGGAAAUCAGCGUGCGGGUGACGGACACCAUGCGCAAGCACGAGGACCCCCUGCAGCGCCAGCGCAGCUUGGUGGAAGAGGAGCGGCUCCGCUACCUCAACGAGGAGGAGCUGAUCACCCAGCAGCUCAAUGACCUGGAGAAAUCGGUGGAGAAGAUCCAGAAGGAUUUGGCCCACAACCACCGGCUCAUCCCUGUGCAGGAGCUGGAGGAGAAGGCGGUGGUGCUCAAGCAGCUGGGGGAGACGCUGACGGACCUCAAGGCCCAGUUCCCCAGCCUGCAGAGCAAGAUGCGGGUGGUGCUGCGGGUGGAGGUGGAAGCCGUCAAGUUCCUCAAGGAGGAGCCGAACCGCCUCGAUGGUUUGCUCAAACGCUGCAAGACGGUGACGGACACCCUCACCCAGAUCCGCAGGCAAGUGGACGAGGGUGUGUGGACCUCCCCCAGCAACCUCAGCCAGUCCCCCAAGAAGGUGGCCCCUGAGACAGACUUCAGCAAAGUGCUGGAUCUGGAGAUGCCCACCAGCCCCCCAGUGAGCCUCCACCACCUGACGGCCGCCAGCGAGACCCUGGGCAUGCCCAGCUUUGGGCAGAGCCCCUCCCAGACCCAGACCCCCUCCUCCAAGAGCAAUAACCCUUCCCGAGCUCCAGAGAUGGUUCCUGCCAAGACCCAGACGGGCCCGGAGACCCCCAGCAAGAAGAGCGCGGACAAAGCCGUAUCCGUGGAGGCGGCCGAGCGGGACUGGGAGGAGAAGCGGGCAGCGCUGACCCAGUACAGUGCCAAGGACAUCAACCGCCUCCUGGAGGAGACGCAAGCCGAGCUGAUGAAGGCCAUCCCCGACCUGGAGUUCGCUGCCAAGCACAAGCAAGCCACGGGCAGCAGCAGCACUGCCUCUACACCCGAGCACAAGCCCUCCAAGUCGCAGCACGCAGCGAAGUCGGGGGGCAAAGGGGACCCCAACGGGCGCCGGGGCUCAGACGAACUGACAGUGCCACGGUACCGGACUGAGAAACCCUCCAAAUCGCCACCACCUCCCCCUCCGCGCCGCAGCUUCCCCUCCACCCAUGGGCUGACCACAACCCGCAGCGGCGAAGUCAUUGUCACCAGCAAGAAGGAGUCUGGUUUUAUGAAGAAAGCUGAGUCAGAGGAGCUGGAGACCCAGAAGCCCCAGGUAAAGCUGAGACGGACGGUGUCGGAGGUGGUCAGGCCGGCAUCCACCCCUCCCAUCAUCGCCUCUGCCAUCAAAGACGACGAUGAUGAGGAUCGCAUCAUAGCGGAGCUGGAGGUGUUUCAGAGAAGCUCUGCCUCCCCUUUCCUUCCCAAGCUCCGUUACGAUCCACUCACGGCUGCCGUCUCCCCUGGGCGCGCAGACAUGUGGCCCAACGGAGCCACCGUUGCAGCCGAAGGAUGGAAGGAGCCAUUGGCCCUGGCAGCCGUCGGGAGCAGGGCUUUCUCCCUCCCACAGAUUGUGCUCACCGAGUGGGUGUCCGAACCGCCGUCUCCCGAAGCCGAACCGGAGGCGUGGGUGGAAAGGGGCUGCUCGGAGCACAGGGAGGCGGCCGGCAGCGGAGGAGCAGGAGGGGAGCAUACACCUAAAGGGGGAAGGAAAUGCCGUGUGUCUCCUGGCAGCUCCAAAAUAUCUCCAUCCGUACCUGGGUACCCUCUGGCCUCAGCCCUGCAGCCCCCGAGCAGCCCAUCUCGGGGCUGUGCCCGUGCAGCAGCGGAGACGUGGAGGUUCCCUCUCGCAGCCAGCAAGGUCCCAUCUUUCUCAGAGCACAAAACAAGCCGUCCCGUAGCGGGAGAAGGAAGGGAUGUUGCUCUGAAUGCUGCCGGCAGGGAAGAAGGCAGCGGCAAGACUUCACACCAAGGUUCUCCUCGUUCCUCAGGAGAAGCCGUGGGUCCUGGAGCUGGCGAGGUGAUGGUCCCCGUCACCGGCACAGGGCUCAGCACCAUCCCCUGGCUUCCUGGUGAUGGAGACACCCAAGGAGGAGCCAGGCAGAGCGUGCAGGAGGCAUUGCUCCUUCCUGGAGCCUCUGCUGGGGCUUGCAAACACGCACAGAGGGAGAACAGCACACCAGUGUGCUCAGUGCCACAUCCUAGAGCUUUCCCGGGCAGGGAUCCAGCCCCGUGGGGAAGCGGAGAGCCUCGGGCUGAGCAUCCCCAGGAGCAGGUCACUGCUUUCUCAAGGCCAAGCGUUUGCAUGGCACCGCGAGGCUGGGACUGCGCGGCUCCAGCUGCCGGCGGAGAAGGUGGUGUGGAGGAUGCCAGGGCGGAGGGGCUCUGCAAAGAGCAGCUGUCCUCUCACCGCUCCAUGACUCCACGCAGCAAGGAGAUUUAUGAAGGCACCUACCAAAGACUGGAUAGCCUGGAAGAAACUAUCCGUGAGCUGGAAAUAACCAUCAGUGAGAUCAGCAGCCAUCCUUCAGUGGAGUUUGUAUUCCGUAAGGAACUGCGAGGACAAGUGGGAUCCACGGAUGCUAACGAGGAGACCAGGGACAGUGUGGGGGAUCUCAAACAUGGUAGCCACGACGAUGGGACCGCCCUGGACCUCAGUCAGGCCAAAGAUGAUGCUCCUGUGAGUCCAUCUCCAAGCAAGACCAAGCCACCUCUGCUCCCCAAGCCGCAGCUCCCCUUCGACACUCCGCAGAGCGGUGGUGUUUCCAUCCCUGCCAUGAAGGUGGUGAACCCGGCGUCCCGGCUGAAGCAGAGCCAGCAGGGCAGCCCCGACAAAAGCAAGCACAUAAAGCAGCGGAUGGAGUACAUGCGGAUCCAGGGCCAGCAGCAGAGCUCUCAGAGCUUCACUCCACCAGUUCCACCAGCUUCAAGCAAGGAAGACGCCGGGCAGCGCCCGACGCCCCUACCCGCGCCCGCAGCACCCAUCCCACCGCGGAAAAGUGGGAAACAGCGGCUGCCGAAGAUACCCCAGACACCCCCGGACCCGACUGCUCAUCCCACACCGCCCUCGAGCAUCCCGGCAGCCGCCAUGCCAACGCGCCUGGAGAAGAGGAUGCUCGGCGCUCCGGCCAGGUCCCGGCGGUGGGUGGCGGGCGGCGCCGCGGCCGGGCUGCGUCCUUCACUGGCCGAGGGCUCGGUGCCGUCCCGAGGGGGUGUCCCUGCCCCUGGUUGCCCACCGGCCACCGGCCCCGGUGCUCCCCGAGAGCGGGAUGCGCUGCGAGGGCUGGGCAGGAGGGAGCCAGGAGAGGCGCCGCGGGGUGCCCGGGAGUGCCGGCGGGGCCGUAGGCUGAGGAUGUAAAAUGCCGAGAGGGCAGAUAUGGGUCGAGUCGGGCUCGGGUUGGAACGUAGCACUUUAAGUGGGCACCUGGGUGGGCACACGGAGUGGGGCAAAGGGGUGCUGUGAUGCUUGGGGGGGCUCCAACCACACCGCGACACUCAACGCCUUUGGGGAUGAAGGGGCAGGAUGGGUCCCCGGAGUCCCCUGCGCCGGCACAGGUGCCCAAUGGGGACCCCGUGCCACAACCGGUGUCCCCACAGUCCUUCCCAGGGGCAGCAGCCCCAACCCUGCCAAGCUUGGGGGUCCCAGGGGUCCCCGGCACCGAGCGUGUGUGUGUGUGUGUGCGUGUGCGCAGUGAAACACGAGAUCGUAUCACUCCUUUUCGUUGACCACUUUGUCCUUGGGUUCGGUUUGUUUAUUCUUUUUCUUCUUUUUUUUUUCCCCCCCCCCCCCUUCCCUCCUCUUUUUUUGUAUAUCGAUCAUUUUUGUACAGAAGAAACGAGAUUUUUUUUGAAUAACAAAGAGAAAAAGAAAAAAAAACACACAAAAAAAAAAAAAAGAAGGAAAAAGAACCACAAAAAAAAUUCAUGAUGCAAUUUCUUUGGAUUGCAAAAAGCAACUCUUUACAUUUAAGUGAAGUGUCUUAACAUUUUAUAUUGUUUUAAAAAAUAUAUUUACAUAUUAUAUAUAUAUAAUAUACGUAAUAUAAAUAUAUAUAUAUAAAUAUUUAAGAAGAAAAGAAAAGAAAUAAAUCUCUUCACGUCUGGUAUAUAUAGGGGGUGGGUUUUCUUCCCUGCUUUAGACUCUUUGUGGUUUUGAGAGGUUCCGAGCGGCUUCUUCGCCCUCGUGCUGAGUUCGCAUCCCUCAUCCGGCACUGUCCGUGUCCCAUCCCUCCCCAGAGCCGGGGGUGCUGAGCCACGCAGCACCCAUGGGUGCCCCGCGCAGCACCCACCUCCCCGCAGCAAUAGCACUCACUCGAUGCGUUGUAGUUAAUUGUUUUAAUUGUUUUUCUUGGUACCAAAGUGAAAUACUGUAGCAAAGCCGCAGCUUCUUAGGGAUGGGGUGGGUGGGGUGGGGGGGUCCCCUCUUUCUCCCAGUGCCACCCGACCCCACCCCAUCCUGGUGCUCCCGCAGGGCUGGAUGUGUCCCGUUCCGUCCUGCCGGCGCCCAGGGAGGGGGACCUGCCCCCAGACCCCCCACCCGCGUCACCGUCCUGGAGGGGACGAUGCCACCGGACCCCCCAGGGACACACAAACAGGGGUGCAAAGGGCUCAGUCAUCUCACAGCACCCAUGGGUGCGCCGGGGCACCCAUCCUGCCCGGAGCGCGCUCCGGUUAUCGGGAUUAGGGGGGGGUCUCCAUUCUCUUUGCUGCACCCCUGGCUUUGCUGUGGGUGCUGGAAGCCCCUUCCCAGGCAGCGCUGGGGGGGGGCCACAGUGGGGGACCCCCAUCUCCUGUCCCCUGGAGGGUGGCACUGGGUGAGGGGGUGCAGAGUGGUGGAUGAGAGGGUGCACAGUGAUGGAUAAUGGGGCGCACAGUGCUUGGUGAGAGGGUGCACAUUGAUGGAUAAUGUGCACAGUGAUGGGGUGCACAGUGAUGGAUAAUGGGGUGCACAGUGAUGGGGUGCACAGUCCUUAGCAAGGGAGUGCACAGUGCUGGGGUGCACAGUGCUGGAUGGUGGGGUGCACAGUGCUGAAUGAUGGGGUGUGCAGCAAUGGAUAAUGGGGUGCACAGUGCUGGAUGAUGGGGUGCACAGUGAUGCAUAAUGGGGUGCACAGUGCUGGGGUGCACGGUGAUGGAUGAUGGGGUGCACAGUGAUGGGGUGCACAGUGCUCGGUGAAGGGGUGCACAAUGAUGGAUAAUGGAGUGCAUAGUGCUGGAGUGCACAGUACUGAGCAAUUGGGUGCACAGUGAUGGAAGAGAGGGUGCACAGUGAUGGAUAAUGGGGUGCAUGGUGCUGGGGUGCAGAGUCCUGAGCAAGAGGGUGCACAGUGCUGGGGUGCAAGGUGCUCAGUGACGGGAUGCACAGUGACAGAUGAUGGGGUGCACAGUGAUGGGGUGCUCAGUGAUGGGGUGCACAGUGAUGGAUGAGAGAGUGCAUAGUGCUGGAUAAUGGGGUGCACAGGAGUCCUGAGAAAGGGGGUGCACAGUGCUGAGUGAUGGGGUGCACAGUGGUGUUUGAUGGGGUGCACAGUGAUGGGGUGCACAGUACUGAGCAGGGGGGAUGCACAGUGCUUGGUAAAGGGGUGCACAGUGCUGGGGUGCAAGGUCCUGAGCAAAGGGGGCGCACAGUCCUGAGCAAGAGGAUGCACAGUGAUGGGGUGCACAGGGAUAGGUGAUGGGGUGCACGGUGCUCAGUAAUGGGGUGCACAGGGAUAGGUGAUGGGGGGCACAGUGCUGAAUGAUGGGGUGCACAGGGAAAGGUCAUAGGAGGCACGGUGAUGAGGUGCUCAGUGCUGGAUGACGGGGUGCACACCGCUUGGCGAGGGGGUGCACAGCACCGGCUUGUCCCUAUUUCUCCCCCCACCCCCCCGGGUUCUCUGUGAGCGUGUGUCUCUGCGUGCGUGUGCGUCCGUCCUUACAUGGCAUCAUUGCAAACCGUCCGUGAGCACCGACCCCGGUGCCUUCGCUAAAGCAAGAGGUUAAAAAAAAAAACAACAUAAAUUCUGGUUUAAACCAGGAAAAAAAAAGAAAAAAAAAAAGGGAAAAUGUUACAAAAAUGAUCAAAAAAAAAUAUUAAAAGCAAAGCGCUGCCUGCAUCGUGCAUGUGUGGGAGGCGCCGCUGCAUGCGCACCCCGCUUUCUCGUCUGGAUGUUGUUGAAAAAAAAUCAAAAGCUGUAAAAGGACUUAAAAAAAUAGAAAAAAAAAAAAAAUUCCUUACUCUUUAGAGGCUGUUUUUGGGGGGUUUCUACAGCGUCGUGUGUCUCUUCGCAUGGAUUUUUUUUUUUUUUCUUCUCUUGUGAACUGUUUUAAAAGAUUAAAAGAAAUCACAAACCCCAGGCCUUGGCGGGGCGGGGGGGGCUGGGACCCCCGCCGCUGCCCCUCGCUGUCCUGUGUCGCUGUGGAUGCCAUGGGUAGUUCUGUGCGCAACGUGACCAUUGUAACUCGCAAACUCUGCUGACUAAAGGUUGGUUUUAUUUUGUUCUUCUUUUCCCUUUAUUAUUUUUCUUUUCUAUCGGAGUG